UGGAUCGAUGAUGACCACUGGUGGCGUAUGAGUCUUCAGCGAUGAAUACGUUGGAGCCUGAGGUCCAA
rnacentral:snoRNA from 1 species